GGGGCUUAACUGAUGACCUAAAUAUCUGAUGAGGAAAUUCAGCAUUAUUGUGUCAGAUGAUGGCAUAAUGGUGUGCACUUUUCUUCUAGUAAGACGUUGCGAUCCAUUAGAAAAGUUAUUAAUCUGUAUAUAGGCCCGGAUAGGAGUUUAUACAUUAAGCGAGUAACAUGACUUUGUUGUUAUGUGAAUGCGUGUAAACUAUUUGGUGUUCUUACAGAUGUCUGAUGGUAUUUUGAUUGAAUGUCGCAUACAAUUUUUUCAUAAUUUGAUAUCCCCCGGGAAUAUAAGGCGAACUUUAUCACCACCGUUUUAAAUUUAGAAUACCUUCAGGACCCGCCUUGAACCACGAACCAAAAAUCCUAAUUGGUAUGCAAUUCAUGGGAAUUUUUAAAACCUAUAGGCAAAAUGAAAUUAAUUUGUUAAGGGAAUUACAAAGGGGGAAUUAUUUAUACAAUUUUCCCUUCCCCGGGAAUCUAAUGGUAAUUACGGAAUUUCCGGCGGCUGGUACUACAAAAAUAUACCUGGAGCUUACAACCUGUGACCCAAAGAAUGGUGAAUAAUGCUGGAUCAGGUGGAAUUCAGGGGAAACCCUGAUGAAAACGGUACCAUUCCUGACUUGCAAUCGUUGGUCAAUUUGGGUAUAGGGCAAAGACAAUCAACAUCUAUACUGUCCCCUUCCGAAA
rnacentral:rRNA from 1 species